rnacentral:rRNA from 1 species
AGCGUAGACGGCGCAGCAAGUCUGAUGUGAAAGGCAGGGGCUUAACCCCUGGACUGCAUUGGAAACUGCUGUGCUUGAGUGCCGGAGGGGUAAGCGGAAUUCCUAGUGUAGCGGUGAAAUGCGUAGAUAUUGGGAGGAACACCAGUGGCGAAGGCGCCUUUCUGGACUGUGUCUGACACUGAGAUGCGAAAGCUAGGGGAGCGAACG